GAUGAACGCUGGCGGCGUGCCUAAUACAUGCAAGUCGAGCAAACAGACGAGGAGCUUGCUCCUCUGACGUUAGCGGCGGACGGGUGAGUAACACGUGGAUAACCUACCUAUAAGACUGGGAUAACUUCGGGAAACCGGAGCUAAUACCGGAUAAUAUAUUGAACCGCAUGGUUCAAUAGUGAAAGACGGUUUUGCUGUCACUUAUAGAUGGAUCCGCGCCGCAUUAGCUAGUUGGUAAGGUAACGGCUUACCAAGGCAACGAUGCGUAGCCGACCUGAGAGGGUGAUCGGCCACACUGGAACUGAGACACGGUCCAGACUCCUACGGGAGGCAGCAGUAGGGAAUCUUCCGCAAUGGGCGAAAGCUUGACGGAGCAACGCCGCGUGAGUGAUGAAGGUCUUCGGAUCGUAAAACUCUGUUAUUAGGGAAGAACAAAUGUGUAAGUAACUAUGCACGUCUUGACGGUACCUAAUCAGAAAGCCACGGCUAACUACGUG
rnacentral:rRNA from 1 species